UCUUCAUUUGAAGUGUUAUAUUAUUUCGAUGUCAGCGUGAGGAAGUGUAUAAUGCGCGAUCGUGAAGUAAUUUAAGCCUACGGAAUGAAGAUAUUUCCUUCUGGUCAAAUCAGCAAAACCGAUUUCAUCGGUCCGAUGCCGAUGUGACAUUUUUAACUUCACGCUUUUACGCACAAAGGCACAGCUUUCUAGGAUUUCGUCGACGGUAGCUAUCUUAUCAGCGGACCUCUGACCUCUUCACAAACACAAAAAGCAUCGAGAGACCUUUAGCAUCCGAUCCUCUCCCUCAUCGUUCGGCCACUCGUCGGUCGGACAGCAACGGAAACACUUAUUUAGUCACACGCAGUGGACGUCGCACGCUCUCUCUCCACCUCCAUCUUUGUCUCUAAUCAAACUGUCGAAUCACAUUCCGGUUUAUCAUCCGGGUGGUUAUCGCGGAUAUUUUCGCCGCCGGAGAAAGAGCUCGGCCGUCGCGGUGACGACAGAUCAUCGUGACAGAUGCACCUUUGUGCGAUCUAAGAUUUAUUCGCGAAAAAUCUCUAAAUGAAGCUCUCGAGUGCCGGAAGCGGCGAGCGAAACUAAACGAGGGAAGAGAUUAAGAAGAGUACAGUGACCGGUGUGAAGAUCGUUUGUCGCGAAAGUUUCUUCUCCCGGUGGUGACUUUUUGUUUCGCAUCGAGGGAUGAAAACCGUACGAUAGAAACACCUCGGUCCCGGAAGAAUUCCGUGAGAAUUCCAGAAGAAAAUUUUCGAGGAUCGAUCCCCGGAAACCAUGAGCAUCAAGGUGGUACUGCUUCUUGCAUUCGUCUGCGUGGUAACUGCCGUACGAGGAGAGAUUACCAAGGAUUCAACAGCAUGCGGUCGAACAAAAUGUAAGGGUAGGUAUUAUUUUUUAAGCGGAUAUGUUCCCGCCCAACAUUCUGC